GGGCGGAUAGUUCAGCUGGUUAGAACAUUCGGCUUACAUCCGAAAGGUCGCAGGUUCGACUCCUGCUCCGCCUACCA
rnacentral:tRNA from 1 species